CGGGGAUACNAAUAUAAGACGAGAAGACCCCAUGGAGCUUUAAACCCAACGACACCCAUUUUCUUUAUACCCUANUAUUCAUUUGGCUAUGUUUGAUUGGUUUUAGGUUGGGGUGACCACGGAGCAUAAAAUAACCUCCACGAAGAAGAGACUAAUAAUCUUUAUCAAAGAAGUACACUUCUAAGAAUUAACAAAUUAAUUUCCAAUGAUCCGAUAUUCGAUCAACNAACCAAGUUACCCUGGGGAUAACAGCGCAAUCCACCUCAAGAGCUCCUAUCGACAGGUGGGUUUACGACCUCGAUGUUGGAUCAGGAUAUCCCAGUGGUGUAGCAGCUACUAAAGGUUCGUUUGUUCAACGAUUAAAAUCCU
rnacentral:rRNA from 1 species